CUGUGACAGUUUGUUAUGGAAUCGUUGGGUUUGUGAACUUUUAGGGAUCUUAUUCCAUGAUGCUGAUCACCAAAAGAAAGAAGAUUGGUGUAAUUUGUGGCCAUCUAUCUAUGCCAUUUCCAAGAGCGAGACGAUUCCAAUUCCAAAAGCUCCUAUCCAAUCCAAUAUGGCUUAUUCUAAGAAUGAAAAAAGGGUACAAGAAACUCCUUUCGACAGUGGAUCUCACAAAGGACUUCUUUUUCAGCUACACCUACAAUGUCAUGCAUAGUCUUCAAAGAAAUUUAUGUAGGAAUGAAACAGGAAUAGUAAACUAUGAAUCGAUGUUUGUUUGGAAUGAGUUCUUAACUCGAGGGAUUCUCAAUACUCUCAAGAACACUCUAUGGACUGUCGCAUUGGUAUAUGGCUUC